CAAAAGUUGUGCACGCCUGAGCGCGUCCUCUCACAUAACAUCCAUCUCACCCUUUUGUGCACCACCGCGUGGGCACCCUUUGGGAUCGAACCGAUCCGGGAGGGGGCUUGCGUUUUCACACAAACCCCUUUUAAAAAAAGUGUAGAAUGUCCCCAUUUUGCGAUGACACGCAAUCAAUACAACUUUCAACAACGGAUCUCUUGGCUCUCGCAUCGAUGAAGAACGCAGCGAAAUGCGAUACGUAAUGUGAAUUGCAGAAUUCAGUGAAUCAUCGAAUCUUUGAACGCACCUUGCGCCCCUUGGUAUUCCGAGGGGCACACCCGUUUGAGUGUCGUGAAAAUCUCAACCUUCUCGGUUUUCUUCUGGACACUGAAGGAGGCUUGGACUUUGGAGGCCUUUGCUGGCAUCUCUCUCUUUUUGAGAGCCAGCUCCUCUUAAAUGAAUUAGCAGGGUCCUCUUUGCCGAUCCUCGACAUGUGAUAAGAUGUUUCCAUGACUUGGUUUCUGGCUCUGUUGCCUUUGGGACCUGCUUCUAACCGUCUCAAAUGAGACAACGGUUUGGGUGUGUCUCCCUCCUCGGGGAAACACUCUCAACC
rnacentral:rRNA from 1 species